CGGCCCAAACUCCUACGGGAGGCAGCAGUAGGGAAUCUUCCACAAUGGACGAAAGUCUGAUGGAGCAACGCCGCGUGAGUGAAGAAGGGUUUCGGCUCGUAAAACUCUGUUGUUAAAGAAGAACAUAUCUGAGAGUAACUGUUCAGGUAUUGACGGUAUUUAACCAGAAAGCCACGGCUAACUACGUGCCAGCAGCCGCGGUAAUACGUAGGUGGCAAGCGUUGUCCGGAUUUAUUGGGCGUAAAGCGAGCGCAGGCGGUUUUUUAAGUCUGAUGUGAAAGCCUUCGGCUCAACCGAAGAAGUGCAUCGGAAACUGGGAAACUUGAGUGCAGAAGAGGACAGUGGAACUCCAUGUGUAGCGGUGAAAUGCGUAGAUAUAUGGAAGAACACCAGUGGCGAAGGCGGCUGUCUGGUCUGUAACUGACGCUGAGGCUCGAAAGUAUGGGUAGCAAACAGGAUUAGAUACCCUGGUAGUCCAUACCGUAAACGAUGAAUGCUAAGUGUUGGAGGGUUUCCGCCCUUCAGUGCUGCAGCUAACGCAUUAAGCAUUCCGCCUGGGGAGUACGGCCGCAAGGCUGAAACUCAAAGGAAUUGACGGGGGCCCGCACAAGCGGUGGAGCAUGUGGUUUAAUUCGAAGCUACGCGAAGAACCUUACCAGGUCUUGACAUACUAUGCAAAUCUAAGAGAUUAGACGUUCCCUUCGGGGACAUGGAUACAGGUGGUGCAUGGUUGUCGUCAGCUCGUGUCGUGAGAUGUUGGGUUAAGUCCCGCAACGAGCGCAACCCUUAUUAUCAGUUGCCAGCAUUAAGUUGGGCACUCUGGUGAGACUGCCGGUGACAAACCGGAGGAAGGUGGGGAUGACGUCAAAUCAUCAUGCCCCUUAUGACCUGGGCUACACACGUGCUACAAUGGAUGGUACAACGAGUUGCGAACUCGCGAGAGUAAGCUAAUCUCUUAAAGCCAUUCUCAGUUCGGAUUGUAGGCUGCAACUCGCCUACAUGAAGUCGGAAUCGCUAGUAAUCGCGGAUCAGCAUGCCGCGGUGAAUACGUUCCCGGGCCUUGUACACACCGCCCGUCACACCAUGAGAGUUUGUAACACCCAAAGUCGGUGGGGUAACCUUUUAGGAACCAGCCGCCUAAGGUGGGACAGAUGAUUAGGGUGAAGUCGUAACAAGGU
rnacentral:rRNA from 1 species